GACGAACGCUGGCGGCGUGCUUAACACAUGCAAGUCGAACGGAAAGGCCUUUUCGGAGGUACUCGAGUGGCGAACGGGUGAGUAACACGUGGGUGAUCUGCCCUGCACUCUGGGAUAAGCCUGGGAAACUGGGUCUAAUACCGGAUAGGACCGCACUUUAGUGUGUGUGGUGGAAAGUUGUUUCGGUGUAGGAUGAGCCCGCGGCCUAUCAGCUUGUUGGUGGGGUAAUGGCCUACCAAGGCGGCGACGGGUAGCCGGACUGAGAGGUUGGUCGGCCACAUUGGGACUGAGAUACGGCCCAGACUCCUACGGGAGGCAGCAGUGGGGAAUAUUGCACAAUGGGCGCAAGCCUGAUGCAGCGACGCCGCGUGGGGGAUGACGGCCUUCGGGUUGUAAACUCCUUUCGCCAGGGACGAAGCGUUUUGUGACGGUACCUGGAGAAGAAGCACCGGCUAACUACGUG
rnacentral:rRNA from 1 species